AUUGAACGCUGGCGGCAUGCUUUACACAUGCAAGUCGAACGGUAACAGGCCGCAAGGUGCUGGCGAGUGGCGCACGGGUGCGUAAUGCAUCGGAACGUGCCCAGUCGUGGGGGAUAACUACUCGAAAGAGUAGCUAAUACCGCAUACGAUCUAUGGAUGAAAGCGGGGGACCGUAAGGCCUCGCGCGAUUGGAGCGGCCGAUGUCAGAUUAGGUAGUUGGUGGGGUAAAGGCUCACCAAGCCAACGAUCUGUAGCUGGUCUGAGAGGACGACCAGCCACACUGGGACUGAGACACGGCCCAGACUCCUACGGGAGGCAGCAGUGGGGAAUUUUGGACAAUGGGCGCAAGCCUGAUCCAGCAAUGCCGCGUGCAGGAAGAAGGCCUUCGGGUUGUAAACUGCUUUUGUACGGAACGAAACGGCUCUGGUUAAUACCCGGGGCUAAUGACGGUACCGAAAGAAUAAGCACCGGCUAACUACGUG
rnacentral:rRNA from 1 species